UUUUGUUUUUUUUGCCACACGCACCGGAGCGUCAGCUUCAAGCGGGCCAUCGACUAACUGUGGAGUCCCGCCUUCUUCCAGGAAGCAGCUCACCUGUGUGUCCGUGUUUAGUGUCCAGGUGUGGAGUGGAGCUUGUUGUUGGUCUGUGUGAAGAAACUGUGAAGGUAGAAAGUGUGUGUGAGCUGAACUGAGCAGCAUGGAUCAGUGUG